rnacentral:rRNA from 1 species
AUUCAGAGGACAGUGGCGGACGGGUGAGUAACGCGUGAGGAACCUGCCUUUCAGAGGGGGACAACAGUUGGAAACGACUGCUAAUACCGCAUGAAGCGUAUUGAUCGCAUGGUCGAUACGCCAAAGAUUUAUCGCUGAAAGAUGGCCUCGCGUCUGAUUAGCUAGUUGGUGAGGUAACGGCCCACCAAGGCGACGAUCAGUAGCCGGACUGAGAGGUUGAACGGCCACAUUGGGACUGAGAUACGGCCCAGACUCCUACGGGAGGCAGCAGUGGGGAAUAUUGGGCAAUGGGCGCAAGCCUGACCCAGCAACGCCGCGUGAAGGAAGAAGGCUUUCGGGUUGUAAACUUCUUUUGUCGGGGACGAGUAGAAGACGGUACCUGACGAAUAAGCCACGGCUAACUACGUGCCAGCAGCCGCGGUAAUACGUAGGUGGCAAGCGUUGUCCGGAUUUACUGGGUGUAAAGGGCGUGUAGCCGGGAGGGCAAGUCAGAUGUGAAAUCCACGGGCUUAACUCGUGAACUGCAUUUGAAACUACUCUUCUUGAGUAUCGGAGAGGCAAUCGGAAUUCCUAGUGUAGCGGUGAAAUGCGUAGAUAUUAGGAGGAACACCAGUGGCGAAGGCGGAUUGCUGGACGAC